rnacentral:rRNA from 1 species
AGAGUUUGAUCAUGGCUCAGGGUGAACGCUGGCGGCGUGCUUGACACAUGCAAGUCGAACGGUAUGUGGCAACACAUAGAGUGGCGAACGGGUGAGUAACACGUGGGAACGUACCAUCUGCAGGGGGAUAACUGACCGAAAGGACAGCUAAUACCGCAUAAGUCCGGAAGGAGAAAGGUGCAAUAGCAUCGGCAGAAGAGCGGCCCGCGGUCCAUCAGCUAGUUGGUGAGGUAAGGGCUUACCAAGGCGACGACGGAUAGCCGGCGUGAGAGCGUGGCCGGCCACAAGGACACUGAGAUACGGGUCCUACUCCUACGGGAGGCAGCAGUGCGGAAUUUUAGAUAAUGGAGGGAACUCUGAUCUAGCGACGCCGCGUGCAGGAAGAAGGUCUUCGGAUUGUAAACUGCUGUGGUAAGGGAAAAAUGCUAUGUAGAGUGGAAAGCUACAUAGAGGGAUGGUACCUUACUAGAAAGCCCCGGCUAACUACGUGCCAGCGGCCGCGGUAAUACGUAGGGGGCGAGCGUUACCCGGAAUCACUGGGCGUAAAGGGAGCGCAGGUGGCCUAACAUGUCAACUGUGAAAACCCGGAGCUCAACUCCGGACUUGCAGUUGAAACUGGUAGGCUUGAGGACGGUAGAGGAAGACGGAACUGCCAGUGUAGGGGUAAAAUCCUUAGAUAUUGGCAGGAACGCCGGUGACGAAGGUGGUUUUCUGGGCCGGUUCUGACACUGAUGCUCGAAAGCCAGGGGAGCGAACGGGAUUAGAUACCCCGGUAGUCCUGGCCCUAAACGAUGUUCACUAGGUGUGGGGAGCGGAAAGCCCUCCGUGCUAAAGCUAACGCGAUAAGUGAACCGCCUGGGGAGUACGCCCGCAAGGGUGAAACUCAAGGAAUAGACGG